rnacentral:rRNA from 1 species
AGUGAACGCUGGCGGUAGGCCUAACACAUGCAAGUCGAACGGCAGCACAGUAAGAGCUUGCUCUUACGGGUGGCGAGUGGCGGACGGGUGAGGAAUACAUCGGAAUCUACUUUUUCGUGGGGGAUAACGUAGGGAAACUUACGCUAAUACCGCAUACGACCUACGGGUGAAAGCAGGGGAUCUUCGGACCUUGCGCGAUUGAAUGAGCCGAUGUCGGAUUAGCUAGUUGGCGGGGUAAAGGCCCACCAAGGCGACGAUCCGUAGCUGGUCUGAGAGGAUGAUCAGCCACACUGGAACUGAGACACGGUCCAGACUCCUACGGGAGGCAGCAGUGGGGAAUAUUGGACAAUGGGCGCAAGCCUGAUCCAGCCAUACCGGGUGGGUGAAGAAGGCCUUCGGGUUGUAAAGCCCUUUUGUUGGGAAAGAAAAGCAGCAGGUUAACACCCCGCUGUUCUGACGGUACCCAAAGAAUAAGCACCGGCUAACUUCGUG